GCAAGUCGAGCGGACCGACGGGAGCUUGCUCCCUUAGGUCAGCGGCGGACGGGUGAGUAACACGUGGGUAACCUGCCUGUAAGACUGGGAUAACUCCGGGAAACCGGGGCUAAUACCGGAUGCUUGAUUGAACCGCAUGGUUCAAUCAUAAAAGGUGGCUUUUAGCUACCACUUACAGAUGGACCCGCGGCGCAUUAGCUAGUUGGUGAGGUAACGGCUCACCAAGGCGACGAUGCGUAGCCGACCUGAGAGGGUGAUCGGCCACACUGGGACUGAGACACGGCCCAGACUCCUACGGGAGGCAGCAGUAGGGAAUCUUCCGCAAUGGACGAAAGUCUGACGGAGCAACGCCGCGUGAGUGAUGAAGGUUUUCGGAUCGUAAAACUCUGUUGUUAGGGAAGAACAAGUACCGUUCGAAUAGGGCGGCACCUUGACGGUACCUAACCAGAAAGCCACGGCUAACUACGUGCCAGCAGCCGCGGUAAUACGUAGGUGGCAAGCGUUGUCCGGAAUUAUUGGGCGUAAAGCGCGCGCAGGCGGUUUCUUAAGUCUGAUGUGAAAGCCCCCGGCUCAACCGGGGAGGGUCAUUGGAAACUGGGGAACUUGAGUGCAGAAGAGGAGAGUGGAAUUCCACGUGUAGCGGUGAAAUGCGUAGAGAUGUGGAGGAACACCAGUGGCGAAGGCGACUCUCUGGUCUGUAACUGACGCUGAGGCGCGA
rnacentral:rRNA from 1 species